rnacentral:rRNA from 1 species
AUUGAACGCUGGCGGCACGCCUUACACAUGCAAGUCGAACGGUAACAGGUCUUCGGAUGCUGACGAGUGGCGAACGGGUAAGUAAUACAUCGGAACGUGCCUAGUAGUGGGGGAUAACUACUCGAAAGAGUGGCUAAUACCGCAUGAGAUCUACGGAUGAAAGCAGGGGAUCGCAAGACCUUGUGCUACUAGAGCGGCCGAUGGCAGAUUAGGUAGUUGGUGGGAUAAAAGCUUACCAAGCCGACGAUCUGUAGCUGGUCUGAGAGGACGAUUAGCCACACUGGGACUGAGACACGGCCCAGACUCCGACGGGAGGCAGCAGUGGGGAAUUUUGGGCAAUGGGCGCAAGCCUGAUCCAGCAAUGCCGCGUGCAGGAUGAAGGCCUUCGGGUUGUAAACUGCUUUUGUACGGAACGAAAAGCCCCGGGUUAAUACCCUGGGGUCAUGACGGUACCGUAAGAAUAAGCACCGGCUAACUACGUGCCAGCCGCCGCCGUAA